rnacentral:lncRNA from 7 species
AGGGUACUGGUUGCAAGCAGAAACCUUUUAAAUUUCCUAACUGGAGCUUAAAAGCACAAGUGUUCUGAAUGGGUCCUGCGCGUCUUAGUAUCUGAGUUUGAAGAUCAACAGCAGCUAUUUGUUACUGGGAGGCACAGUGAAGUCAUAACCGGCUCUCUGAUACAGAUCACAAGGGAAGUGGCAGACUGUUGCUUAAUUUCAUCAUGGAACUGACACAAAACUUGUCAAGUACAGGAAAGUGUUGGAAGUAAGCAUGGUAGAACGAUUUCUCUUUAUCAUUGAUCAUGGAAAGGACGUAUAUCAGGCAGUUCAAGUGCCAUAUAUGAAAUAAGCUCCAGCAUCUGGUUUGUUAUCCCUCUGAAGGCAAUGCAGAGGAGCAGCAGAGUUGCUUGUUUUUGUAGUUCUGCAGAACUUUGUGAUGCACAAAUAUGUGUUGCAGUUCAGCCAUACGGAUGGAAAUCACAUCUAAGGAAAAAUGACAGUGGGACAGUGGAAUAGAAUCGCACGUGCCAUGGAGGAAUAUAAAUACUGAAUAGCAACCUUGCAUUUACAUUUUUGUAGUAGCUGUGAAAAUAGGCAGAUUUUUAAAGAAUACCUGUAGAUUUGCUGAUAGAUCAGACAAGAUGCAAUGUUGCCCUGCUUUUAGCAAGGACUUCAGCUGAAGUGCAGAUAAGAAUUAAGCUGAUACAUGUAAAAGAUCGUGAAAAUGUUGACUGCUUGCAAAUUAGCAGUUACUGAUCUUUGUGUCUUGAAAGUCUGUACAAGGAGAAGAUGGAAAGGGAUGAGAGAGCUAUGCAUGAAGCAAAAGGCUUCAAAUCCUUAACUUGCCUCAAGGGUAGCUGGCAGCUUUCUGUACUCCCCUGCGUCUGUGGGCAGCACGAGAGGGCAGGCAGGACCUGAACAGCUGCAGAGUGGCAUGGUAGGAAAUGAAUUGUGGGUAGAUUACUUUUGUGGCAGGAAGAGGUUGGAACUUAGAAAAGGAUGCCAAGUGUUUGUAUUUUGUGUGAUUGUUUAAUAGAACAUGAGAGUAGUGGAAAAAAAAAGUAGGCAGUAACAAAGGGUGUCUUCCUCAGAUGCUUCUGCUGUUCGUGUGCAGCUGUUACAGAUGAAAGAUGUACGUCUGCCACUUGCAGCUCUACUGUACAGUACCAUGAGCUGUUGCAGGCAUUUUAUAUAAUCAGUGGUCAACAAAACAAUAAACAACGGCCAACCUGUAAGC